AACGAACGCUGGCGGCAGGCCUAACACAUGCAAGUCGAACGCCCUAGCAAUAGGGAGUGGCAGACGGGUGAGUAACGCGUGGGAACCUUCCCUGUAGUACGGAAUAGCCCAGGGAAACUUGGAGUAAUACCGUAUACGCCCGAAAGGGAAGAUUUAUCGCUAUAGGAUGGGCCCGCGUAGGAUUAGCUAGUUGGUGAGGUAAUGGCUCACCAAGGCGACGAUCCUUAGCUGGUUUGAGAGAACGACCAGCCACACUGGGACUGAGACACGGCCCAGACUCCUACGGGAGGCAGCAGUGGGGAAUAUUGGACAAUGGGCGCAAGCCUGAUCCAGCCAUGCCGCGUGAGUGAUGAAGGCCUUUAGGGUUGUAAAGCUCUUUUGGUCGGGACGGAUAAUGACGGUACCCGCAGAAUAAGUCCCGGCUAACUUCGUGCCAGCAGCCGCCGCGGUAAG
rnacentral:rRNA from 1 species